rnacentral:misc_RNA from 1 species
UAAUGUUUAUACAUAUACUGUGAUUGUGAAUGGUCUGUGUAAAAUUGGGAAAACCAAUGUGGCUUCUGGUUUGCUUAAGAAGAUGGUCAAGAGAGGUUGCAAGCCUAAUGUGGUGGCUUAUAGUGCCAUCAUCGACAGCCUUUGCAAGGAUAGCCUGGUUACUGAGGCAUUAGACCUUUUGUCAGAAAUGAAGACUGAAGGAAUUUUGCCUAAUGUCGUUACUUACACGGCUUUAAUUCAUGGUAUGUGCAAUUCAGGCCGAUGGAAAGAAGUCUCACUGGUUCUUAAUGAAAUGCUGGAUGGGAACAUCAAACCAAAUAUAAUUACCUUUAAUGUGUUGGUUGAUCAACUCUGUAAAGAAGGAAAACUCUUGAAGGCUCAAGUUAUACUUGAAAUAAUGAUUCAAAGAGGAAUACAGCCUGAUGUUGUCACCUAUAAUUCAUUGAUGGAUGGAUAUUGUCUGCAGAACCAAAUUGAUGAAGCUAGAAAAGUAUUUAACAUGAUGGUAAGCAAGGGUUGUACACCUGAUAUUUUUACUUACACUAUCCUCAUUAAUAGUUGCUGUAAGAGGAAAAGGGUAGAUGAGGCAAAGCAGCUUCUUGAUGAAAUGCAUCAUAAAGGCUUAACUCCAGACAGUGUUACUUAUAAUUCCCUUAUACGCUGCUGGUGCCAAGCAGGGAAUCCUUGGGCAGCACAUGAGCUUGUGAAGAAUUUACGUGCUAGUGGUCAUCCUCCAAAUAUAAUAUCUUACUCAAUUUUGCUAGCUGGCUUUUGUAAACACAGGCAUCCCGAUGUGGCAUUGACCCUAUUUCAUGAAAUGCAAAACAGCAUGUUGAAGCCUAACUGUUUUGUCUAUAAUAUCCUAAUUGAUGGUUUGUGCAAAGCUGGGAUGCUUGAAGCUGCAAAGGAACUCUUUUCUAGAAUUUCCAUUGAAGGGUUGCAGCCUAAUGUUUAUACAUAUACUAUCAUAAUCAGUGGACUUUGCCAAAAAGGUUUACUGGAUGAAGCAUAUAAGAUCUUUAGGAAAAUGGAAGAGGAUAGCUGUUUACCAAAUAGUUGCUCAUACAAUGUGAUUAUCCAUGGAUUUCUCUGGCACAAGGAUUUGGCAGGUGCAGCACAACUUAUUAAUGAAAUGGUUGGUAAGGGAUUCU